ACGAUGUAUAUGCCAGCGGAAUGGGAUGUAUUCUGCAGAACAGGGACAAGUAAACAAUGCAUAACAUAAGAUUGAAGAUUAAUGCAUGUCACUAUGCUGCAUUGAGGUAAACUUUAAUUUUUUGUGGAGAAUAUUAGAUCAAACUCCAUGCAGAACUAAACAUUGAGAAGCUAAAACCGCACUAAAUUACCUAUUAUAGAUUGCUUCUAAUGCAAUCGUGAAAGUUCCCAUACCCAGAAGCUCAGCAGGAAAAGUAGCCUGCCUCUACACUUUGUCAGCUAGUCAUCAGCCAGUCUUUAGUUCCACCAAGGCUUCAAAAACUCAAGAUUGCAGCUAGCAUCACAAAUGGCACAACUUACCCGGUAUUCGAGGUCAUUAUUUGCAAAAAAACAUGUGCGGUUGCUUUCCAGCCUCCCUUUCAGGAGGCCAUCCAGUUCUCAAUAUGUCACAGAGUACCUAAACCCAAACUUGAGUAUCACGGAAUUUUUUUAAUGUACACAGACAGAUAGAUAGAUGAUAACACUCCAUUUUAUCACUUUUUCCAAACUAGAUGUCAGCACCCACUAGACUUUUAAAAAGAGAUGACUAAAGUUGCAGAGUAGUUACUGAACAACCAAACAAAGCCUAGUGUCUUUUGAUGGUCAGUUCAAAGAUUUAAAACUCGCGUGACGAAAAGGCCAAUAUGGACUCGACAGCCGAAUUAGAUAAUCUAAGAAAGGACAAGAUCCUCUAGAGUGGUCACAACCUGAGUAUCUUUGCUCCAAUCAACAGAAUCAUUGGCCACAAAUACUGCUUGAACUCUCUAUGUUUGCCUAGCAAUUUUUCUCUUUCCUAUCAUAUUAGAAGUGCUAUUCUGGUCAUUGCCUAGCUUAGUUGUCCAUCUCUUGUAUGGUGCCAGUGGAUCAAUGGCAUCAAAGUAGCUAGUGUACUCAUCAAUUGACGGAACGUUUCUGCAUAGAAAAGACAGAGGCAGAAAGAGGGUCAACUAGAGGGAAAAGAGAGAGAGAGAGAGAGAGAGAGAGAGAGAGAGAGAAUCAAGUUGUUGGAGUUGUUGGAGUUGUUGGAGUUCUCGUUCCAGGUGAAACAGUGUUGAACACUAACGACUAAGAAGAUUUAUGGAGAGGACUUCUCUGCAAUUACUCAAGUCCCUGAGAACUUGAGUGAUUUUUAUUAACUUUGCUUGCUCCUAAUUAUUAUCUAGACAUCUUCAAUAUCAAUUUUAUUAGAUACAUAACUUUAUCCUCAUAACUUUUGAAAGCUUUCAGUAACCUUGACACGAUAUAACUUUUGUGGAGCUAUUGUUGUUUAAACUUUUGUGUAGACUUUAGAUAGCAAGGGUAUGCGUGGGCUUGCUUUCAUUUCUCUUUUCAGUGAUCUGCCUUAACCAUUUCUAGCAAGCCUAUUUUUUUUUUUUUUCUGGAACACAUUGAGCUCCUUGUCUACUUAGCUUCUAAAGUAGCUUUGGAUGGUUGUGCAGCCCGAAUUAUAUCUAAAAUUCAAGCUCUGUGAUGACAAGUUGGAACUCUUUGGGUACUAAAUUACUUGUGGCAACUAUCUUUUUCUGUUCUAAUUAUGAGGGUUGCUGAUGGACUAGAAGUUAUGAACAAUUGCCGGAUGCACAAAUUUAUUGAUUAUGUUUGGUUGUGGCAGUGUUAUAUCAAUUUACAAAUCGAAAAUGUGCCACAAUAUUUAGCAUUUUGGUAUCUCAGGUUUGUUUUUUGGAAGGUGGUGUGAUUGAUUGAUCUCUUGCAUCGAAUAACAGGGAGAAGAGCAUCUAGCUUGUGUUACUGUAGCUGACCAUUUAAGCUUGAAGCAACACUAGAGUGUGAUCACUAAUUCAAGGAAAUUUUAACUUUGGCUAGGUGCUACAAUGGGCAGGAUUUUAUGUGGCUAACUGAGCAUUAGUACAUGCAUUGGCAUGCUAGAAUGGUUUUGUUAUGAGGGCAUAUUGAGAAACUGAUGAUGUUGAAUUUACCAAAGAAAAUAAGACAGUACUUUAGGUUGGUUUAGGUAAAUCAACUAACACCCUUCAAUCUCCCAAUAUAAAGAUGAGGUUUUGUGAUGAGGUAAAAUGUGCAGAAAGACUAGAAGGAGUUGCUUUUUCAAUCUACUGAAGAUAGAGGCAGUUAAUUGUAGUGUGAAGUGAAAAGAUAUGUUUUUGCAUUGCUUAUCAGAAGUGACUUGUUACUGUUGAUUCUACUUCUACUUUUUUUGCAGUCAUCAUGUGUUUUAGAUGUUGAUUGCUUGUAUAUUUAGAUCAUCAUAUUGCAGGGGAUUGGUAAUGCCAUCUUUUUUGGUUGCUGGUGGAACUUCCCUUUAGUAGAUCUAAGACCUCUCUCUAUUUUGCAACUUCCUUGGAAUGAAAUUUUCCUCCAUUUUUCGCAAUUCUGUGAUGAGACACAAACAAGGUCAGAAAACACUUUGUGGUGCUUGACAUCUGAGGACGAAUUCUUGAUUUCUUUUCCAACUUAGCAAUUAGCACUACAUAUCAGUAACUAGAUUUGGUUUUUACUAUGCUUUGAUGACCGUCUUUUCCUGUGAUAGAGCUGGCCCUGAUGAAGCAAAAGAGACGUUGAAGAAAAUUGGUGCUGAAGAAGUGUUCACUAAGAGCCGAUUAGAAGUAAAGAAUGUCAAGGGUCUACUAAUACCGUCCAUCCACUAGCCCAUUCUACCAUAUUCUUAUGCAUGGACACAUCCAUUUUUGGCCAUUGGCACUUGAGUUCUUUAUUUACAUCUUAUUGACUUUGUACUAGGGUGAUCUAAAAGAAUUUGCCCUUGGAUUAAACUGCAUUGGUGGCAAUGCUACUUCCUCGGUGAUGAAAUUUUUGAAGUGCAACAGGUGUUAAAUUUGUGUCGAGUGCUUCCCUUAUCUUUCUGAAGAGAGCUGAUCUAGUUUUGUUCUCAGGCGGGGAGGAAUCAUGGUGACAUAUGGUGGGAUGUCUAAGAAACCAAUUACAGUGUCAACUUCAUUUUUUAUCUUCAAGGUAAAUUAAGAAGCAGCGAACUAAAAUUUCUGCUUAUGGUUGAGGUUAUUUCAGUCAAGUCUUACAAUUUGACUUGUCUAUGUUUCGGUCUCAGUCUUGGCAAUGACCUAUAGUUUGAUUUUUGUUUAAAAGUUUUAUUUGUUGUUUAAAUUUGGCCCAAAAUCUCAAUUUCAAUAUUUGAUGCAACCAAAUUUGAGCGAAAAAAUUAUCCCUGGAGUUGAGACUAAGAGGAAUGUAUAAACCAAUGCAAUAGUGGUUCUUAUGGUUUGCAGGAUCUUUCUUUGAGGGGAUUUUGGCUGCAUAAUUGGAUCAGUUCAAAUGAUGUAAGAGAGUGCAGAAGAAUGAUUGAUCACUUGCUGGUCACUUGCUGGAACUAGCGUGUGAUGGAAAGUUAAAAUACGAGUUUGUCUUUUGUAACAACUACUCAAAUUGCUGUAUUUAGGUCUCCAUAAGUAAUUUUCACUAGUAUUUAUCCUCAAGAGUGUGUUUGGAUUGUGGAUGCAUAUUAAGUUCUCCAAAACUGCAGGAACGAGCUUGUUCCUUUUAGUGAUGAGUUCAUUUGGAAUUAGGCGUAUUACACUAUUUUUUGUUAUUUCUCUUUUUAUUUUUAUUUUUCGUUGGGUCAAAGUCUUUGUCCAGGUCAUCGACAUAAAUUUGGCAUCUCCUAUAGUAACUUUGUUAAUAAUAUAAAGUUAUUUCUGAAAGUACUGGUAAAGCGACCAGUCAAAAGACGCUCGAGAAAAUAUUGUUAUCAAAAGUUUGGACAGCUGGUAAAGAAUUUCUAAAUUUUACUGGUACAGAAAGCGUACUGGCUUUUCUCCCUAGCAGACCUGCAGAAUCGUGGGACCGGUUCAUCUGGUCGCACUCGUGGUCAUGGAGAAACAGAGAGAUGCAAGGCUAAUAAUUUUAUGCUGCUGCAUUUACAUGGGCUGAUUAUUCAACACAAGUGGUCAAGAACCAAUCUGAACUUUCGAUUGCAUAACGCCCAACAGAGUCCGCAAGAUUUGCAGCUCAAAUUUCAAUUGCAAGAUGCAAUACAAACUUCAUCAACUGUAUCAACAGAAAGUAGUGACUCUGCUGGGGGCAAGAAAUAGCUUAAGAAUGAGCAGGAUUCGCCACUCGAAAGACUUGACAGCAUCUACUCCCCAAACCAGCUUUUCGGAGGACGUGAAGGAGUUGGCGAAGUACACUUAGUUGGCUCUGCCGUGAAGGAUCUUUCUCCUGGCGAUUUGGUCAUUCCAUCUCCACUCUCUUUUGGUAAAACAUUCUUUCAGUAUUACCUAAGUUUUAAAAUGAUAUCAGAUUUACUGUGCAUCAGCCAUGCUCAUCUAGUUGAUCACUUCUGAACAAUUUCUCACUCAGCCAAAGGAUAUAAUCUUCUAUAUUUGAUGCAGCAUGUUUAACGUUUAAUUUGAUUAGAUGCAGAACAGAAACGAGUGAAAUAUCAACCAAAAGAAAGAUUGAAACUGUGAUACACAUCUUAGUGAUUGUCAUCUUAAAUAAAAGAUACUUCUGCAUUCCAUUAGUACUGACUUGUUUUGUUAUGCAGAACAUCUGUGCCUAGCACUUAGCCCAUUGUAAAUUUGAGUGUGUUGAAAGGUGAAAUAGUUUUUGUGCUCAGGGACAUGGCAGACUUACAUUGUCAAAGACCAGAGUGUAUGGCAAAAAAUUGAUAAGAAUUCUCCUAUUGAAUAUGCUGCGACAAUUUCCAUUAAUCCUCCGACCGCUUUGAGAAUGCUUGAAGACUUCACCUCUUUGGAACCAGGUAUAUAAACAGUACAAGAGUCUCUUAGCUGUCCCCCAACUUUCACCGUAAGCAAUUUAUCCUAAGUUGUGCUAAUCAGCUGUGAUCAUUAGGGGAUUCGAUUGUGCAAAAUGAGGCUACGAGUAUAGUGGGUCGAUGCCUCAUCCAAAUUGCGAAAUCCCGUGGCAUCCAAGCAUCAACAUAAUCAGGGACAGGUGCUCUCUUGAAAGCUUUCAGUAACCUUGAUACCACGUAACUUUUGUCAAACUACUGUUGUUUAAAACUUUUGUGUAGACUUUAGAUAGCAAAGUUAUGUGUGGGUUUGCUUUUAUUUCUCUUUUCUGUGAUCUGCCUUAACCAUUGCUAGGAAGCCUUUCUUUUUUUUUUUUUUUUUUUUUUUCUGGAACGCAUUGAGCUCUUGUCUACUCAGCUUCUGAAGUAGGGACUAAAUUACUUGUGGCAACUCUGUCUUUUCCUAUUCUAAUUAUGAAUGUUGCUGGUAGACUAAAAGUUAUGAACAAUUGCCAGAUGCACAAAUAUGUUGAUUAUGUUCGGUUGUGGCAGUGAUAUAUUAAUAUACAAAUUGAUAAUGUGCCAAAAUAUUUAGCAUUCUGGUAUCUCUGGUUUGUUUUUUGGAAGCUUGUGUGAUUGAUUGAGAUCUCCUUGCAUCGAAUAACAGGGAGAAGUGGACCUUGAGCUUGUGUUACUAUAGCUGACCCUUUUAAGCUUGAAGUAACAUUGAGUGUGAUUACUGAUUUGAGGAAAUUACAAUCUUUGGCUAGGUGCUACAAUGGGCAGGAAUUUAUGUGGCUGACUGAGCAUUAGUACAUGCAUUGGCAUGCAAGAAUGGUUCUGUUAUGAGGGCAUUUUGAGGAAUUGAUUAUUUGAACUUAUCAAAGAAAAUAAGAACGUACUUUAGGUUCAUGUAGGUACAUCAACUAACAUCCUUUAAUCUCCCAAUAUAAAGAUGAGGUUUUGUGAUGAGGUAACAUGUAUUUGGAAAGACUAGAAGGACUUGUUUUGUGAAUAUAUCGAAGGCGAAGGUAGUUAAUUGUAGUGUGAAUUGAGCAGAGAUCUUUCUGCAUUGCUUAUCAUAAUUGACUUGUUACUGUUCAUGAUUCUUCUACUACUUUUGCAGUCAUCAUGUGUUUUAGAUGUUGAUUGCUGGUAUGUUUAGAUCAUCAUAUUGCUGGGCAUUGGUAAUUCCAUCUUUUUUUAGUUGCUGGCGGAAACUUCCUUUUAGUAUAUCGAAGACGUCUCUCUGCUUUGCAACUUCUUUUGGAGUGAAAUUUUCCUCCUUUUCUUUUAAUUCUGUGACGAGACACAAAAAGAGGUCAGAAAACACUUUGUGGUGCUUGACGCAUUAAUUUAGUAGGGCUCUCUCAGCCAGCUUAUUAGUUCAUGCUAUGACCUCUGAGCACAAAUUUGGUAGAAUUCUUUAUUUGUUUUCCAACUUAGUAGUUAGCACUGCAUAUCAGUAACAAAAUUUGAAUUUUACUGUGCUUUCAUGGCCGUCCUUUUCCUAUGAUAGAGCUAGCUCUGAUGAAGCAAAAGAGGUGUUGAAGAAACUUGGUGUUGAAGAAGUGUUCACUGAGAGCCAAUUAGAAAUAAAGAAUGUCAAGAGUCUACUGGUAUCAUCCAUCCAUUAAUCCAUUCUACCAUAUUCUCAUGCAUGAAACACAUCCAUGUUUGGCCAUCGGCACUUGAGUUCUUUAUUUACAUCUUAUUGACUUGCUACUAGGGUGAUCUAAAAGAACCUGCCCUUGGAUUAAACUACGUUGGUGGCAAUGCUGCUUCCUUGGUGAUGAAAUUUUUGAGGUGUGACAAGUGUUAAAUUCGUGUUUAGUGCUUCCCUUAUCUUUCUGUAGAGAGCUGAUUUAGUUUUGUUCUCAGGCGGGGAGGAACCAUGGUGAAAUAUGGUGGGAUGUCUAAGAAACCAAUUACAGUGUCAACUUCAUCUUUUAUCUUCAAGAUAAAUUAAGAAGUGGUGAACUAAAUUUUCCACCGAUGGGUAGGAGGUUAUUUUAGUCUAGCCAUACAAUUUGAUUUGUCUAUGUUUCGGUCUCGGUCUCGAUCUCGAUCUCGGUCAAUGCCCUAUAGUUUUAUUUUUUUUGUCUAAAUUUGGCCCAAAAUCUCAAUUUCAGUAUUUGACGCAACCAAAUUUGAGAGAAAAAAAUUAUCCCUAGAGUCGAGACUAAGGGGAGUACAUAAAUCAAUGAGACAAUGGUUCUUAUGGUUUGCAGGAUCUUUCUUUGAGGGGAUUUUGGCUGCAUAAUUGGAUGAGUUCAAAUGAUGUAACAGGGUGCAGAAGAAUGAUAGAUCACUUGCUCGAGCUAGUGCAGGAUGGGAAGUUAAAAUACGAAUAUGUCUUCGGUAACCACCACUCAAAUUGCUGUAUCUAGGUCUCCAUAUCUUUAUAGUGUCUCUAAUAGUAUUUAUCUUCAAGAUAGUGUGCCUGGACUGUGGAUGCGUAUGAAUUUCUCCAAAACUGUAGGACGGAGCGGGUUCCUUUUAGUGAUUUCCACAUUGCACUGGAUAAAUCAUUGGGGAAACUUGGAAGCCAUCCUAAGCAAGUCCUGAAGUUCUAGGGCUAUUGAAUAUUUAAGGGCAGUGAGAAGAUAAAAAAAUUAUGCGUCAUAUCCUUCAGACAAUCAGUUGUUCUAAAGUUGAGGCACUAGAUGGACCGAGCACGAUAACUAUGUAUCUUUUCCAUUAUUAUUAUUCUCUUUUCAUAAGUUAUGCAUCUUUUUUGUUGAGGUAAUUUCGUAGAUUCUUAUUUUCAGCAAUUUCCAUUCUGAAUUUGUUUUGCAUCAUGCCUUCCAAUCUAAAACUAAUCUCAUGCUCUCCCAAAACAUGAUGGCUGAAUUUGGAGAUCCAAACAUCGGCCCGCUUGGUAUGGGAAAGGUCCAGAAAGGUUUGAGAUUUGCACGAUUCUCAUAUACACGUAAUAAGGAACAUUGGGAUAUACUUCCCAAAAAUCAUGUAAUCAACAUGGCAUGCAUUGAGAAAAAGAGCAAGAAGAAUCAUAAAUUAUUCAUUUGAUCUAACCUAAUUCAAAUGGGAUGCAAAGGGAAAACACAGAAUGGAAAGAUCGUGUCAGCUUCCAAAGAAUUGACGAUUGUUCAGAUACCACGGAAAGAAAAGGCAUCUUUAUUUUAGACAAUGUCAAGGACCGCACUCCUUUCUCAAGAUAAAGGAGUUGGACCAGGAUGAGUGAUUUUCAAAUUCAUUUUUAGCCUUGGAAAAUUUAGAGAGAAAACAAAUUCCCCACAAAAUGGCUUCCUAUCAUGCACAAUUUUGCAAGGCCGAAGAGAUGGGCCUAGCAAAUUGGAAGAUUAUAAGUAAUUGGAAGAUUAUCCACGCUGACACCUCAAAACACUUAAUGAAAUGUUUGUUUAAUGGUCAUGGAAUCAUGAAAGGAAUCCCAAACCGUAAAAUCAAAUAGAGGACAAUAAUCGGGAAAAUGUUCAGGGAUCUUAUGUGGUUUUUCAUCCUGUUCUAUCCCUAGUUUUCCGUUAUUUGCUUGUAUACAUUGAUUGGAGACACAUUCCCGUUCUUACACGUACAACAUAUUUGUUAUUUUAAGAGAUGGGCUUCAUUCGGUGAGCAUAAUUCAACAUGGAAUUCCACUCUGAUCCCAACCUAAGAAAAGAAUUUCUGAAUCAAUUUAGUAAUUUAGACUUUUUUUGUUUCUCAAAAAAUAAAUAAUUCGAUAAAUAUUUUCUUAAAAAUGAUCGUUUAUAUCACUCAAAAUAAUUAUUAAAUAAGAAAUAUUUUUAUUAUUCAUAAUAAUUUAUGUCUAGAUAUUUUUCGUGGAAGGUAAACAAAUUUUUAGUUGGUUUAUUUUUAUAAGCAAUAUAAAUAAUUAUUUUUAUGAAAUGUUUUAAAUCAUUCUCUUAAUCAAAGAUACACUCCCUUUACAUGUGUGCUGUAGUUCCAUCUUCACUCUCAAUUGUAUUAAUUAAUCAUCCGAGCCAAAAGUAAAGCAAAAUAUCUUUGUGCUCUAAAUAGGCAAUUAUAUUCUAAACAGCUUUUCAUCAGCCAACAUGUAGUUUUUCUCAUGGACCAAUGGCAUCUGUUUUUAUGGUCGUCGUAGUCAAAAAUUAGAUUGGAAAUUGGAACACCUUUUGAAUAGAGGAGAUUAUGUAAAGCCAAAAGAAGCAACAUGGACGGACCAUUUUUCUUAGCCGUCGCAUCAACAAACAAAUGGAGAAAAUGAUGGAGAUGCACUCCUAUUUUGAUGACAGCUUAGCAGUGUACUAUUGCCGGCCAACAGAAGCAUGUGAUCAUCAUCUUUUACCGAGACAAUGAAUGAUUAGAUAGCCUCGAUGAUGACAUGGAAGUGACAAGUGGUACCUCCACUAGUGCACCUUUUGAAUGGAGGAGAUCAUGUAAAGCCAAAAGAUAGCAACAUGUAUGAACCAUUUUUCUUAGCCAUCGCAUCAACAAACAAACGGAUAAAAUUAUGGAGAUGCGAUCCUAUUUUGAUGACAGCUUAGCAGUGUACUAAUUGCCGGCCAACGGAAGCAUGUGAUCAUCGUCUUUUACCAAGACAAUGGAUGAUUAGAUAGCCUCGUUGAUGACAUGGAAGUGACAAGCGGUACCUCCACAAGUGCAUCUACUUUUGGAAAAGGAUGGAUUCCCAUUAUAUUCUUUCGUGGCUUCGCCUACAAUAAGGCACAAGGGAGAGCAUUAAAUUUCAAAAAUAAGCCUAUUGACAUUUCUCUACCGGGUGCUUAAAUCAGAAGAAAAACAGCGUCGUCUUAUCAUGUUAUGCUGUCAUCAUUACACUUAAAUAGUCGAAAAUAAUUGAAACGCCACGAUAGACGAAUUCAAUGAGAUUUAGCUAAAAUGUUUUAUUACAUUUUCCCUUGUAAGUUUAAGACUACGUUAUUUCAGUUAAAAAGUUUAUACCUUUAUAGGUUUGAAAUUUCAGUAUAAUAACUUUAGAAAAGAUUGUGCAAUUAUCUCGGAAAUAUGACAAUUCGGUUUUCUCAAUCUCAUGCUCGCACUCAACUCAAUACAAUAAAUAUACUUGCAUCAAACUCAAUCCAACUCUAAUAUUAAAAACUAAAUUAUAGAGCUUCGAACUCCAUCUCAAGUUCUCAUAAAAAAUUUCAAAAAUAAUGAUUUUUUCCAUUGUCCUUAGUAAAAUCCUUUAAAUUAUUAACAAGGCUCACAAAUUGCAUUACUAUAGUAUUACAAAAUUUGACACAUAUCCAUAUUGUUAGGUCCAAAUACAUAAAAGAAGGGGUGAAGUGUUUUUUUAUACAUAUAAAAAUAUUUAUCUUUCUAGAACCAGCACCUUAUUUAAAAAUGUUUUUUAUAUGCAAUUAAACUGUUAAUUUGCAAUAAGAAACUUAUAGAGUUUAGGGAAAAAGAAAUUACAAAAGCUAUUUAUAGAGUUUCAAUUAGGAUAUGCUUUCUCUUCUAUCUCUAGCAACCCCAUUAGAUUGAAGUUCACUACUUCGGCCAAUAGUGCAAUUGCCAAGAACUUUGUAUCGCGCGGACUCGACUCCUCCUACGGCUAUCUCACUAUAGACUAAAUAAUUAUUAAAUCUCUUUCAAUAGCUGUUCUCACACCUUGUGCACACAACAUGGUAGACAUAUUCUCCCCCAAAAUUAUUUAACCACAUUUCCAAGUGUUUACAAAUAAUCAUUUGCAUAUUUUGUCUCUUACCUAAACAAUUGCAUUCUCUCUAAGCACGACCACUUCUUCCGUGUGUAUACAAAUGAUUUUGGCACCCUUGCUAACUUUUUGGAUCAAAACUAAAUAGAUUAUAAUGAAACAGCAAAGAGAUAGAUCUCAAGAACACUCAAUGUGUUUCGAUUUUUCUUGUUGCAAGCAUUCAAUCACAAGUUACGUUUUACUCAUAGUUUGUCCUUAUAGGCCUCCAAAAACAACCCUCUUGUUUCAACCAUCUGAUCCAAGUCGAUCACAGAAUGAGUUUCAUUUCAUCACACGAAAAAGAGACAUUUGGAGGGGGUACUUAGAGAUCAUCAACAAAUGAAAAAGUCAAAAUGAUAAGGAGAGUGAGCAGCAGUUGGUAAGUUUAUAAAUUGACUUAUUAUAGUGUUUGCAAUUUAUUUACGAUGCUUGUGAAAUUUCCAAAGAGUUGGUUAUUCUUUAAUUCAUUUCAAAGUUGGUAAAUUUCUAACGGCAUUGAUAAGUUAUUGGUAGGUUAUUUGGCAAUCAAAUUGACGGCCAUGCUUUUCUUUUAUCGACUGUACUAGAUGUUAAUGUUGGCUGGGUCUGCCUGUGUGGGGCCUAGUUAACAUUAAUAAAUAAAAGAAAAGGUCAAAAAGUCAAAAUGCAAUAAAGGGAAAGAAAGGCGGGCUGCUCGUUCGGAGGAGACAGGAAAUGGGCUGUGACAUCCGGUCUAGAAUCGAAGGCCAAAUAUCGUCGGAGUUGACUCAAAUUUCAAUAUGUUGUUAUAAGACCGAGACAAAUGAGUCGAGACAGGCGAGUCCAUCAGUUUCAUUUGUCAAUCCAUUUCGUUCAUUGAACACUUUUUCUAAAUUAUCUCAAAUUUCUCUAAUCACGAUUAGGCUUUCUUACUUCAUAUAUAUUAAUCCGCUUUUACAGUAAUGAAAUGUCAUUAUAUUAAAUCUCUAAUAUAUUACUAAAGAAGAACCUCUAUGCAUCUUACUAUUUUUUGUGAUUAAUGAAAGUUUUUGAAUUGUCCAUAAUUUUUUUCGCAUUGAAUUUCCACGUAAACUUGUCGUGUUUGCUUUUGUCUGUUUUUAUCAUUUUGGCAUUACUUUUAUUCAUUUCGAGAUUAUAUUGCGGGAAUAUAUUGCCUGUUAUUAUAGGGGUUGAGUCGAUUUUGGUCCAUUUAAUCUUGGGAGGAGAUUGAUUCUACAUUAGGUUAAUUUUUGAUGAAUUGUUGCCGGUUCUCUCGAACUUUGUAUCAAUAAUUUUGGAAAUCCAUCAAGUAAGGGAAAUUUUCUGCACUUUCCUUUGACUACCCUGCACUCAGUCCCGAAAGAUUGCGUCAGCCACAUCUUUGAUUUUGUGUAUCAUCGACCAAUAGCAUCUAAUUUUAUGGUCUUCGUCGUCGUGAAAAAGGAUGAUUUCUGUCCCAAUCGCGUCCUCAUCGGCAUCUUCGAUUUUUUUGUCUCAUCGACCAAUAGUAUUUGAUUGUAUGAUCUUCGUCGUCGUUGAUUUUAUGGUCUUCGUCGUCGUGAAAAAGUAUGAUUUCUGUCCCGUCCGCGUCCUCAUCGGCAGCCUUGAUUUUUUUGUCUCAUCGACCAAUAGCAUUUGAUUUUAUGGUCUUCGUCGUCGUGAAAAAGUAUGAUUUCUGCCCCAGUCGUGUCCUCAUCGGCCCAAAGCAUUUUACAUGCUUUUCCCAGAACUGCCCCAGUCAAUAACACUUCAAUUCGUGUUAUAUUAUGAUCUGAGAAAUGGAUGUUUACUGCGGGGUUCUUCCAAAUCGGUUUCGUCUAGGGGGACGAUAAGAAGAGAUGCUCCAAUAUUCCUUUUUUCAAACUUUCUUGCAAGAUUGAUUGCAGUUUUAUUUUUCAGGAGUCGUGCUUUGAUAGGAUACGUUCAUAUUUCGGAGGAGGCUUGUGAAAUUUUGAAGACGACUCGCAUCAUACUUGUCAGAAUGCAGGGAUGGACUAUUAUAUAUUUUUAGUGGGGUCAAUGCCCUAAAGACUGUAAGAUAAGGUAUUUCAUUUAACAAAAAAAUUAUAAAGAUGCGAUCGAGCUAUUUAUUGAUUUGAAGUAGUUUUUCUACGCAAAGUCUGACUUGAAAUCAACGCUUUGACAUUGAAUCGUGAAUGUGAACAAAAUUCGGUUUCAAAUCCCUGUGCUCGAGCUCGACUCAAUAUAGUAUAUAGGGCUCGAAAUUGAACUCGAUUCAACUCCAUUAUUAAAAGAUCGAUUCUACUCAUUUAACUAGUUACGUAGCAUGUUUCUUUCUAUUUUUCCUAAUCAUAUAUUGUACCUUCUGCAUAGCCUGGUCAUGCCAUUCGAUUGCUUUAUCUUCCGACUCUAUAAAGCCUUGUGUUUCAUUGGUGGUAUGGUUGUCUAGUAGUGCAAUGUCUAAGCCCGAUAAUUUUUUGAUAAUUGUUUAUCUUUUUACUUUUCUGUUUUUUGCGUCAUAAAGAAGUUUAUAGUACAUGGAAAGACAAGAAACUGGUUUUGAUUUCUUGCAAGUUAGCGCAUGGUCCCUUAGACGGUGACGAGGCUAAGCCUAAUUACAUUGAUGAACAAUGGAAGUUACUAAAAAGGCAAUGCGGUGUUUCAUUAGGCAUCAUCAGUUGGAUUUUAUUUCUUUAGAUAAACUAUAAGGAUCCCAUCCCACAGCUCCUUUUGCCCUUCCGAUUUCCAUCUUUUGGCAAUGGAAAACCGUAGCCACAACAACACCAAUAUAAAUUAAGGAAUCGUUAUGCUAGCUGGAUCCUAUGAAAAACAAUUGAUGUCGUCUCAUCCCUUGAUCGUCAAACUUUCUGGAUUAUAUGUCACAACCGCACUUUCAUUCACUCACGGAACACUUCUUAGAUAUGUCCUUCCUCAUCACUUCAUUUCGAGUAGGGAUUAAUAGUUCCCCCUGUACAGAUUGGAGUAUGAAGUCCACCCAAAAAAUUUGAUAAAAUAGUCCGUUCUAUUUUGCUGGUAUCACCAGCUGACUUAGUUCCGAUGACUCUCUUUGGAAUAUGAGGCAAUAAUAAAGCAAAUCUAUCAAACGAUUCUCCACCAAGCAUGAACUCUUUUAUUAUGUAUGUUGGAUUGAUUGGUCGAUUCACGACAUUUUGUAUAGAAAUUACGAAAAAAAUGCAAAUAGUUAUAAUUCGUUAUAAUUCAAAAAUUUAUUUAUCGAUAACCAUAAAACUGCUCAUGUAUUAUAAGAGGAAAUUCGAAAAACCCUUCGACACAAAAGUUAUUCAUCACAUCAAAUCUCCAACAUUGUACAGUAGAGUAGACGAUCUAUCACCAUGCAUCAUUCAAGUUUCACACACAAACAUAAAUAGAAGCUUCUAAAUUCAUAAGCAUACAAUAAGAUAAGAGAGACUAUUGUAAUUUUUGUCUCAUUUAUUGUCUAGGUACUCUUCCAUGCUUGCACUUCUCACAAAUAGAUGGGCCAUCCGUGCCAGCUAAUUGGAAGUUUUCCACACUCAAANNNNNNNNNNNNNNNNNNNNNNNNNNNNNNNNNNNNNNNNNNNNNNNNNNNNNNNNNNNNNNNNNNNNNNNNNNNNNNNNNNNNNNNNNNNNNNNNNNNNACAAUUACAAAUUUAUUAUAAUUGUGUCAUUUUAAUUUUAAAUAUUCUUUACCAAUUAAGUAUUAAACCUUUUAUAUUUAUGUCCAUUCAGUUCGUCCAAUCAAAAUGGACCGGCCAGCCCUAACACAAACAUGAGGCAUCUUAAAUGGCACCAUCGACACUAAUAUGGACAAUUUUUAGUAAUAUUAUAAUAUUUUUUUUUCGAUUUUUAUUCCUUUUUUUCUUUAAAUAUAUUCUUUUCUUUUUUUCUUUUUUUCUUUCUUUCGUUUUUAUUUUUUUUCUUCACUCCCUUCUUUCUCUGGCUAGUCGCCAGCGACCACUAGAAAUGAAGCUUCAAGAAGAACGGAGUGAGCUUCAAAUACUAUCCAAACUCGAUCAUGUCUUCAUGCGCGAUGUUCAGGAACUGGGAAUUAGGCUUAUUGAAAUGAUACAUGUGUUUGACUAUUCACGGUCUAAGGUGAUGAGAUUUGGUGAAGGGCCAACAAAAACAAUCAGAUCCGAAAUGAGAAAUUAUUAUAUGCUUUACAAAACGUGUGACCUAAUAUCAUCUCAAUCAUUAAUCAGGUAGAUCUCGCUAUGGGUCUCCGAGAUCAAUUGUUGAACUGGGUUUUGACAUAAGAUUUACAGACCAAACAGUAACAUUUCAUGCAAAAUGGGGUUAUAGACAUGACCUGACAAAUAAAAUUCACUCUUCUAUCCAAAAUUAAGGAGAAAAGAACACCUCAAGUGUCAAAACUUGGCACAAAGGGAUACUUAAGUGCCAAAACUUAUGAAAGUGACACUUAAGUGCCAAAAUCGGAGCAAAAUAGAUCACUUAAAUGUCAAUCCAGCCAAAACGCUGAUGUGGCAAUUUUCUAGCAAGCUUAGUGCAAAACAACGUCGAUUUGCACACUAAUGUGGCUAAAUAGUGCCAAAACGAUGUUAUUUUGGUGCUAACAUGAUAAAUAAUUAAUAUAAUAAAUAAUUAAAUUAAAUUUAAAGCAAAUAAAUAAUAAUUAUCUAUAUUAUAUAUAUAUAUAAAGGAGGAGAAAAUGAGGAGGAGGAGGGAGGCAACUGGCAACCCCUGCCACCGUUACCGAAACAGUGGGGGAGGGUCGGCCGGGGCCGCUGACCCCUAGUAGGGGGCCAGUGAGCCCAGUCACCGGCUGGGGGGUCGCCCCAACGGGCGGUGGCCCUUGGCUCAGCCAAGCGAGGGCCCGGCAACCCUUGUCGGAUCUGGGGAGGGCCACGACCCUCGCCCCAGAUCCUAGUGAGGGCACGCAAGCCCUCGCCGCCAUCCGCUAGGGUCCACUAACCGACCUCCCCCANNNNNNNNNNNNNNNNNNNNNNNNNNNNNNNNNNNNNNNNNNNNNNNNNNNNNNNNNNNNNNNNNNNNNNNNNNNNNNNNNNNNNNNNNNNNNNNNNNNNCUCCUCCCCACCUUUUUUUAGUAAUUAAUUUGUUUUAAAUUAAAUUUAAUUAAUUAUUAUAUGUUAAUUAUUUAUCACGUCAGCACCAAAACGACAUUGUUUUGGCACUGUUUAGCCACAUCAGUGUGCAAAACGACGUCAUUUUACACUAAGCUUACCGGAAAAUUGUCACGUCAGCGUUUUGGCCGAAUUAGCACUUAAGUGAUUCAUUUUGCUCUCAUUUUGGCACUUAAGUGUCAUUUUCAUAAGUUUUGUCACUUAAGUGUCCUUUUGUGCAAAGUAUUGGUACUUCUGGUGUCCUUGUGUCCAAAAUCAAGUACACAAAAACUUAUUUUAGAGCCGACCUACUAAGGAUAUAAGAUACCACUGUCAAUUCGUUUCUAUUUCGAGUAUUCUGAAAACGUUGGAAAAUGUUCUAAGAUCCUCCUGAACUUAAACUGUCUUAGAUGGACACAUCAAAAAACCACUAAGCUCAGUCCCCUGGUUGGUCUAUUCUUGUCUACAUCUGUCAUGUGGUCAUACGACUCCUAUCCGAACAAUAUUAAAAAACAGCCACGUUGCCACUAAUUAACGAUGGAAUUAACGAUGAAACGUGGGAAAACGACGUAAUGGCAAAGUCCGUCGUCUCGUCACUGUCGGCCACGAUCGUGUGUGUUUAGAAUCUUAUCCUUCCGACUUGAUUUGCCAUCACAUCAUUUUUCCCCCCAACUUUUGGACUCUCGGGUCUGUCGCUACCCUUGCGUUGCAAUAUAGAUUCCAAUGCCACAAGAAAAGACCGUUGGAUAGAUCCGACAAAUGUAUAAAUUUGAAUCUAAUAAAAAAUAAUCCAAUUCAAAUUGACAUAUUUUAUUUAUUUAACUCAUUUUCAUGCAAUACAAAUCAAGUGACUCAUACUCGACUUCUCUCAUAUCUAACUUGACUUAUAAAUAUAAAACACUUCCAUAUUUAACCUAAUUUAAGAAAACUAGUACCCAAACUAAAGUAAGAGUAAAUUAUGAACUUAUUUAACACCCAUAUUGUUUUGAGUUUAAGUCAUUCAUAUAAUUUAAAAAAAAUAGGCUUAUAACUCAUUUUAAUAGGUCUAUCAUCGGAUAAACAUGAUAUCUUGACAUUUAUGGAAAAUUGUCCCAAUUAUAUCACAUUGCAUAUACAUGUAGGAAGGAAAAUUGGGACAUCUCCCAAAAAUCAAGUAUGUAAUUGACAUCGCAUCGGUUGAGAAAAGAGCAAGAAGAACCAUAAAUUAUUCGUUCAAUUCUGCUUGAUUCAAAUAGGAUGCUGACAACCUUUGGGGAAGGACGUACGUGAAACGCAAUAAGCAAAAUAAACAAAAGACUAGCGACUAAUAGUCACUAAUUAAGAUAUGGAAAAACACAGAAUGGAAAGAUUGUGUUGGAUUCCAAAGAAUUGAUAAUGUUGAGAUACCACAAGAAGAAAAAUGCAUCUUUUAUGUCAAGAACCGCUCUCCUUUCUCAAGAUAAAGUUGACAGUGUCCUCCACAGUGUCUAUGACCUGCAUAGGUAAACAUAAAAGAGUUCAAUUGGGGUGAGCAAUUUUCGGAUGCACUUUUAACCUUGGAAAAUUUGGAUAGAAGAUAAAUUCCCCAUAAAAGUUGCUUUCAAUUGGGCAUAUUUUGGAAAUACUGACAUUUUGCUAGGCUGAAGAAGGAAAAGGUUCGGUCAUAUUUCAUCCAACCAAUUUAGAAUUGACCGAUCACCCAAAGUAUGGCAAAUCAAGGUAUGUAAGUAUGGGAGGAUUAUCCAUGCUAACAGCUCAAAACCACUUGAGGCCAUGUUUGGUUCAUUGCCCUGGAAUCAUGAAAAGGAAACUAAAUCUAAGCAAUCAAAUUCCUAGAUGUGGGGUUCAUUCUCUAUUGUUUGGUUUCAAUUAACAAAUGAAGGGAGAAAUGUCUAAUGUGAGAUGCAAAGUGAGGUAAAAACAUGUCGGAAAUGGAAUGUGUAAAAUAUGUCUCCAAUCCACAUAUCCAAAGUGGCUAAUGAAAAACUAGGGAUAGAAACAGAAUGAAGAACCACAUACAAUCCCCCAACAAUUUCCCGAUUAUUGUCAUCUAAAAUGAUCAUACAGUUCACACAAUCAUUUCACAAACACAUUACAUACAGCUCCUCAAAAUCUCUCGAGUAAAGCAUUUCACACAUAAUCUGCAACAAUGAAGAUAAAGUCAUUCCCGCGUAACUUCAAACUACUUCACAACUGUUACCUCAAGCCAUUGUGAUAUUCUUGUCCUUGUUGUGUUUUGAGUCAAAGACCCAAUCACGAGAACAAAUGGAGUGACAGCAACUCAGCCAAGUGUGUUAAUGGAACUUUAUAUCCCCACCCAAGCCAACGUGAUGCUCGUAGUUGGCGUCUCCAUUAUCAGACCAGACAUGUUUCAUAAUAGUGAGAAAGAGAAAUAAUCUCACCUUGCAGAGGAAUGUGAGGGCCAUGGAAUCAAGAGGCAGGCAAAACUCCCAUGGAAGGAUUUGAAGAUGUCAUAUGGAGAGAGAGAGAGAGAGAGAGAGUUCGGGCUUUCUAGGAUUUGAAGAUUUAUGAAGCUCAGGAGUACUGAGCAUGUUGGGUUCGUGAAUGUUUUUUCCUCCUAGGAAUCCCAGUACCACCUCUACCUGAGCAAUCCAAUUCUGCAUUAGGAGUAUCCAUUAACUAGGCACUUUGAUUCUAUGAUCAUAAAUCCAUCUAAAGAUGAGUUGCAAUGGCAUUCCAUUUCAUGUUUAUUACUCCAAGGUAAACCAAACAAGGCCUAAGUGAUUACACGAUGUACUAUACUUUUGAAUGCUUUCAUAGUGGAAUCAAUGAUCUGCAGUCUCAACCAUGACUUUCAUAGGAUCACAUAUCUAAAAUCUCUAAACCAAAGAAGUGAACAUGCUGGAAUGCACACGAUUUGCUUACUUAGGAACCUACCAUCAACUCACCCCAACGUACAGUCAAGGAGAGAUGGGAGAGACAGAUAGGAAAUGUCUGGAUUUUGUUAAGAGUACGAAUACUUACCACGUCCAUGGGAAGUUCUGAAUGAUUAUCUUUUACCUUGAAUACCCCAGUCCUUGUUAAUAUAGAAAACCAAGGAUCUCCUGCCUGAAGGAGUUGUUAUCAGUACUGGUGAUUGUGUUCGGAAAUAAAAUUACUGAUAUGAUAAAAUACAAUUCUCAAUAUGAAAUAUACUCGUUGUGCGCCUCUAAUGUCAAUUUUGGAUUAUCUCCUAUCAUGUAUAGUGUUCUGAAACAACGAAUUCCAGAGUAUGUAUUAUUCUCCACAUCUAGGUUGCUUAACAAAGAUGGCAUAAGAUUCCUUAACAUGGUCUCAGCAUUUCCAUAGACAAAUGGAUUUGGCGUCCCAUACGAUGUAUACGAUAGCGGAAUGGGAUGUAUUCUACAGAACAGGGACAAGUAAACACUGCAUAACACAAGAUUGAAGAUUAAUGCAUGUCGCUUUGCUGCAUUGAAGUAAACUAGGCCCACACAAGGAUCUUAUGGGCCUUUCUUUAAUUUUUUGUGGAGAAUAUUAGAUCAAACUCCAUGUAGAACUAAACAUUGAGAAGCUGAAACCUCACUAUCUUACAUGUUAUAGAUUGCUUCUAACGCAAUCCUGAAAGCUCCCAUACCCAAACGUUCAGCAGGAAAAGUAGCCUACCUUUGCACUUUGUCAGCUAGUCAUCAGCCAGUCUUUAGUUCCACCAAGGCUUCAAAAACUCAAGAUUGCAGCUAGCGUCACAAAUGGCAUAGCUUACCUGGUAUUCGAGGUCAUUAUUUGCAAAAAAUAGGUGUGGUUGCUUUCUAGCCUUCCUUCCAGGGAGCCCCCCAGUUCUUAAUAUGUUGCAGAGCACCUAAACCCAAACUUGAGUAUCACAUAAUUUUUUUUAAUAUACACAGAUAGACAGAUAGAUGAUAACACUCCAUUUUAUCACAUUUUCCAAGCUAGAUGUCAGCACCCACUAGACUUUUAAAAAGAUGAUGACUAAAGUUGCAGAGCAUUUACUGAACAACCAAACAAAGAGUCGUGUCUUUUGAUAAUCAGUUCAAAGAUUUAGAACUAGCGUGACGAAAAUCCCAGUAUGGACUCAACAGCCGAAUUACAUAAUCUAAGAAAGGACAAGAUCCUUUAGGGUGGUCACAACCUAGAUAUCUCUGCUCCAGUCAAUAGAAUCAUUGACUACAAAUGCUGCCUGAACUCUCUGUGUUUGCAAAGCAAUUUUAUUCUUUCCUAUCAUAUUAGAAGUGCUAUUCUGGUUAAUGUCUGGCUUAGUUGUCCAUCUCUUGUACGGUGCCGGUGGAUCAAUGGCAUCAAAGUAGCUAGUGUACUCAUCAAUUGACAGAACGUUUCUGCAUAGAAAAGACCCGAGCAGAAAGAGGGUCAACUGGAGGAAAGAGAGAGAGAGAGAGAGAGAGAAAGAGAGAGAGAGAGAGAGAGAGAGAGAGAAUCAAGUUGUUGGAGUUCUCAUUCUGGAUGAAACAUCGUUGAACACAGACAACUAAGAAGAUAUAUGGAGAGGACUUCUCUACAAUUACUCGAGUCCCUGAUAACUUGAGUGAUUUUUAUUCACUUUGCUUGCUCCUAUGUAUUACCUAGACAUCUUCAAUAGCAAUUUUAUUAGAUACAUAACUUUAUCCUUAUAACUUUUGAAAGCUUUCAGUAAACUUGACACCAUAUACUUUCAAAAGCUUUCAGUAACCUUGACACCAUAUAACUUUUUUCGAACUAUUGUUGUUCAAAACCUUUGUGUAGACUUUAGAUAGCAAGGGUAUGUGUGGGCUUGCUUUUAUUUCUCUUUUCAGUGAUUUGCCUUAACCAUUGCUAGCAAGCCUUUUUUUUUUUUUUCCGGGAAUGCAUUGAGCUCCUUGUCUACUAAGCUUCUAAAGUAGUUUUGGAUGGUUGUGCAGCCUGAAUUAUACUUGUGGCAACUCAGUCUUUUCCUGUUCUUAUUAUGAGGGUUGUUGAUGGACUAGAAGUUAUGAACAAUUGCCAAAUGCACAAAUUUACUGAUUAUGUUUGGUUGCGGCAGUGUUAUAUCGAUAUACAAAUUGAAAACGCCCCACAAUAUGUAGCAUUUUGGUAUCUCAAGUUUGUUUUUUGGAAGGUGGUGUGAUUGAUUGAUCUCUUGCAUCGAAUAACAGGGAGAAGUGGAUCUAGCUUGUAAUACUCUAGCUGACCAUUUAAGCUUGAAGUAACACAGAGUGUGAUCACUGAUUCAACGAAAUUUUAACUCUAGCUAGGUGCUACAAUGGGCAGGAAUUUAUGUGGCUGAGUGAGCAUUACUACAUGUAUUGGCAUGCCAGAAUGGUUUUGUUAUGAGGGCAUUUUGAGCAACUAAUGAUGUUGAAUUUAUCAAAGAAAAUAAGACACUACUUUAGGUUCAUUUAGGUAAAUCAACUAACACCCGUCAAUCUCCCAAUAUAAAGAUGAGGUUUUGUGAUGAGGUAAAAUUUGUAGAAAGACUAGAAGAAGUUGUUUUUUGAAUAUAUUGAAGACAGAGGCAGUUAAUUGUAGUGUGAAGUGAAAAGAUAUGUUUCUACAUUGCUUAUCAGAAGUGACUUGUUACUGUUGAUUCCGCUUCUACUAUUUUUGUAGUCAUCAUGUGUUCUAGAUGUUGAUUGCUUGUAUAUUUAGAUCAUCAUACUACAGGGGCAUUGGUAAUUCCAUCUUUUUUGGUUGCUAGUGGAACUUCCUUUUAGUAGAUCUAAGACCUCUCUCUGUUUGGCAACUUCCUUGGAGUGGAAUUUUCCUCUGUUUUUCUUAAUUCCGUGAUGAGACACAAAAGUGGUCAGAAAACACUUCGUGGUGCUUGACACUUUAAUUUAGCAGGGCUCUCAUCAGCCAGCUCUUUAGUUCCUGCUAUGAAAUCUAAGGACGAAUUUGAUAGAAUUCUUGAUUUAUUUUCCAACUUAGCAGUUAGCACUGCAUAUCAAUAACUAAAUUUGGUUUUUACUGUGUUUUGAUGACAGUCUUUUUCCUAUGACAGAGUUGGCUCUGAUGAAGCAAACUAGGCGUUGAAGAAACUUGGUGCUAAAGAAGUGUUCACUGAGAGCAAAUUAGAAGUAAAGAAAGUCAAGAGUCUACUGGAACCGUCCAUCCAUUAACCCAUUCUACCAUAUUCUUAUGCAUGGACACAUCCAUUUUUGGCCAUUGGCACUUGAGUUCUUUAUUUACAUCUUAUUGACUUUGUACUAGGGUGAUCUAAAAGAACUUGCCCUUGGAUUAAACUGCGUUGGUGGCAAUGCUGCUUCCUCGGUGAUGAAAUUUUUGAGGUGCAACAAGUGUUAAAUUUGUGUCGAGUGCUUACCUUAUCUUUCUGAAGAGAGCUGAUUUAGUUUUGUGUCAACUUCAUAUUUUAUCUUCAAGGUAAAUUAAGAAGCAGCUAAAAUUUCUGCCUAUGGUUAUGAGGUUAUUCCAUCAAGCCUUACAAUUUGACUUGUCUAUGUUCCGGUCUCAGUCUUGGCAAUGCCCUAUAGUUUUUUUUUUUUUUUAAUUUGGCCCAAAAUCUCAAUUUCAGUAUUUGACGCAACCAAAUUUGAGUGAAAAAAAAAUUAUCCCUGGAAUUGAGACUAAGAGGAAUGUAUAAAAUAGUGCAAUAAUGGUUCUUAUGGUUUGCAAGAUCUUUCUUUGAGGGAAUUUUGGCUGCAUAAUUGGAUCAGUUCAAAUGAUGUAACGGAGUGCAGAAGAACGAUAAAUCACUUGCUGGAAUUAGUGCGUGAUGGAAAGUUAAAAUACGAGUUCGUCUUUUGUAACAACUACUCAAAUUGCUGUAUUUAGGUCUCCAUAUCUUUAUAGUAAUUUUCAAUACUAUUCAUCCUCAAGAAAGUGAGCUGGGAUUGUGGUGCAUAUGAAUUUCUCCAAAACUGCAGGACCGAGCUUGUUCCUUUUAGUGAUUUCCACGUUGCACUGGAUAAAUCACUGGGGAAACAUGGGAGCCAUCCUUAGCAAGUCCCAAAGUUCUAAGGCUACUGAAUAUAUAAGGGCGGUAAGAAGAUGGAAAAAUUCUGCAUCAUAUCCUUCAGAUGAUCAGCUUGUUCUGAAGUUCUGAAGUGCUGGAUCAACCGGGCACAAUAACUAUGUAUCUUUCCCCUUCUUAUUAUUUUCUCUUUUCAUAAGUGAUGCAUCUUCUCCAUUGAAGUAAUUUUGUUGCUGCUUAUUUUCACCAAUUUCCAUUCUAAAUUUGUUUUGCAUCAUACCCUCCAAUCUCAAACUAAUCUCAUGCAACGUGAGGUCCAUCAACUACGGCUGAAUUUGGAGAGUAAUACAUCACCCGUUUGGUAAGGGUACAUAAAGGUUUCAGAUUUACCAAUUACAAUUCUCAUAUACACGUGACAAAGAACAUUGGGAUACUUUCCCAAAAAUCAUGUAAUCGACAUCGCAUGCAUUGAGAAAAGAGUAAGAACCGUAAUUAUUCAUUUGAUCUAACCUAAUUCAAAUGGGAUGUGGACCACCUUCAAGGAACGUCAUACAUACAUGAUGAGCAAAAUCAAUAGAAGACUAGCUAAUGGUACUUACUUUUUAUGAUAGGGAAGACACAGAAUGGAAGAUCGUAUCGGCUUCCAAAGAAGUGACAAUUGUUCAAAUACCACAGAAAGAAAAGGCAUCUUUUGUCCAUGUGAUAUCAAGAACCGCACUCUUUUCUCAAGAUAAAGUCGACAGCAUCCUCAACAGUAUCCACGACCUGCAUAGGUAAACAUAAAAGAGUUCGAUCAGGAUGAGUGAUUUUCGAAUUUUUUUUUUAACCUUGGAAAAUUUAGGGAGAAGACAAAUUCCCAAAAAAAAAUGUGCACGGUUUUGAAAUACUGACAUUUCGCUAGGCUGAAUAGGGAAAGGGUUCGCUCAGUCAUGUUUCAUCCAACCAAGUUAGAAUUCCCAGAUCACCCAUAGCAUAGCAAAUCAAGGUAUGUAAGUAUGGGACACCUCAAACACUUGCCAUGCAAUUAUGAAAAGGAAUCCCAUUCUAAGCAAUCAAAUUCCUAGGAGUGGGUUUUCUUUUUCUUUUUCUUUUCCUUCUUGUUCAGUCUCAAAUUACUAGUGAAGAGAGAAAUGUCCAACGUGAGUUGUCAAAUGAGGUUAAAACAUGUCAGAAAUGGAAUGUGUCUCCAAUCAACACGUACAAAGUGGAGGAUAGAAAUAGAGCGAAGAACCACAUAAGAUCCCUCAACAAUUUCCCGAUCAUUGUCCUCCAAAUGAUUUCACAGUUCGCACAAGCAUUUUUAUGAACCGAUUAUAUAAAACUCAUCAAAAUCUUGCAAGNNNNNNNNNNNNNNNNNNNNNNNNNNNNNNNNNNNNNNNNNNNNNNNNNNNNNNNNNNNNNNNNNNNNNNNNNNNNNNNNNNNNNNNNNNNNNNNNNNNNNNNNNNNNNNNNNNNNNNNNNNNNNNNNNNNNNNNNNNNNNNNNNNNNNNNNNNNNNNNNNNNNNNNNNNNNNNNNNNNNNNNNNNNNNNNNNNNNNNNNNNNNNNNNNNNNNNNNNNNNNNNNNNNNNNNNNNNNNNNNNNNNNNNNNNNNNNNNNNNNNNNNNNNNNNNNNNNNNNNNNNNNNNNNNNNNNNNNNNNNNNNNNNNNNNNNNCCCCCCCCCCCCCGCAAAAAGAAAAAAAAAAAACCAACAUGAUGCUUGUUGCUGAUGUAUCCAUAAAGAAUCCAAACAAGUUUCACAAUGGCAAGAGAGAGAAAGGAUUUCGCCUAGUAGAGGGAUGUGAGGGCUAUAGAAUCAAGAGGCAGGCAAAACUCACGUGGGAAGGAUUUGAAGAUGAUGAAUGGAGGGAGGGAGGGAGGGAGAAAGUUCUGGUUUUGUAGGAUUUAAAGAGGAUGAAGCUCAGACUACUGAGUGGGUAGAGUUUGCAAAUGUUUUUCUCUUCUAGGAAUUCCAGUACCACCUCUACCUGAGCAUACCAAUUCUGCAUUUUAAAGAGAAUCCAUAACCUAGGUAAUUUGAUUCCGCAAUCAUAAAACCAUCCGAAGAUGAGUUGCAAUGGGAUCUCAUUUCCUUUUCUUAGUCCAAAGUGAACCAAACAAGGCCUAAGUGAUUGCACAUUGUACUAUACUUCUUAAUGUUUUCCUAGUGGAAUCUAAGAUCUGCAUUCUCAACCAUGACUUUCCACUAGGAACACAGAUAUAAAAUCUCUAAACCAAAGAAGUGAACAUGCUGGAAUGAACACGACUUGCACACAUAGGAACGUACCAUCAACUCACCCCAAUAUACAUACGAGGAAGAGUGAGAGAGACAGAGAUGUGUAAAUUUUGUUAAGAGUACAAAUACUCACCAAGUCAGCAGGGAACUCUGAAUGAUUAUCUUUUCCCUUGAAUACCCCAGUCCUUGUUAAUAUAGAAAACCAAGGAUCUCCUGCCUGAAGGAGUUGUUGGUAGUAUUGGUGAUUAUGUUUCAAAAUAAAUUCACUUAUAUAAUGAACUACAAUUUUUGGUAUGAAAUAUACCUGCCGUGCACCUCUAAUGUCGAAUUUUGGAUUAUCUCCUAUCAUGUAUAGGGUUUUAAAAUAACAAAUUCUAGAGUUUGUACUAUUCUCCACAUCUAGGUUGCUUAACAAAGAUGGCAUAAGAUUCCUUAACAUUGUCUCAGCAUUUCCAUAGACAAAUGGAUUUGGCUUCCCGUAUGAUGUAUAUGCCAAAGGAAUGGGAUGUAUUCUGCAGAAUAGGGACAAGUAAACAAUGCGCAACAUAAGAUUGAAGAUUAAUGCAUGUCACUAUGCUGCAUUGAGGCAAAUUAGGCCUACAUAAGGAUAUUAUGGGCCAAUCUUUAUUUUUUUGUGGAGAAUAUUAUAUCAAACUCCAUGCAUAACUAACCAUUGACAAGCAGAAACCUCACUAUUACCAGUUAUAGAUUGCUUCUAAUGCAAUUCUGAAAGCUUUCAUACCCAGACGUUCAGCAGGAAAAGUAGCCUGCCUUUACACUUUGUCAACUAGUCAUCAGCCAGUCUUUAGUUCCACUAAGGUUUCAAAAACUCAAGAUUGCAACUCACAUCACAAAUGGCAUAGCAUACCUAGUAUUCUAGGUCAUCAUUUGCAAAAAAACGGGUGCAGUUGCUUUCUAGUCCGUUUUCUAGGAAGCCCUCCAGUUCUCAAUAUGUCACAGAGCACCUAAACCCAAACUUGAGUAUCACAGAAUUACUUUAAAGUACACUGACAGAUAGACAGAUGAUAAC
rnacentral:lncRNA from 1 species